rnacentral:tRNA from 1 species
AGGGAAAUAGCUCAGUGGUAGAGCGCAUGCUUAACAUGCUUGAAGUCCUGGGUUCAAUUCCCAUUAUCUCCA